UCCGUUAUGUUCUAGUGGUUAGGAUUUGCAGCUCUCACCGGCAAGGCCGCGGGUUCGAUUCCCGGCAACGGAA
rnacentral:tRNA from 1 species